rnacentral:misc_RNA from 1 species
GAUGAAGAACGUAGCGAAAUGCGAUAAGUAAUGUGAAUUGCAGAAUUCAGUGAAUCAUCGAAUCUUUGAACGCACAUUGCGCCCCUUGGUAUUCCGAGGGGCAUGCCUGCUCGAGCGUCAUUAUAACCCCUCAAGCUCAGCUUGGUGUUGGGGCCUGCUGCACUGGCAGCCCUUAAAAUCAGUGGCGGCGCCAUCUGGCUCUAAGCGUAGUAAUUCUUCUCGCUAUGGAGUCCUGGUGGAUGCUUGCCAUCAACCCCCAAUUUUUCUAUGGUUGACCUCGGAUCAGGUAGGGAUACCCGCUGAACUUAAGCAUAUCAUAAGCGGAGGA